AUUGAACGCUGGCGGCAGGCCUUACACAUGCAAGUCGAGCGGCUGCACGGAGCUUGCUCCUGUGUUCAGCGGCGGACGGGUGAGUAAUGCCUCGGAAUCUGCCUGGUCGUGGGGGAUAACGUCCGGAAACUGGCGCUAAUACCGCAUACGUCCUGAGGGUGAAAGCGGGGGAUCUUCGGACCUCACGCUAUCAGAUGAGCCUAGGUCGGAUUAGCUAGUUGGUGGGGUAAAGGCCUACCAAGGCGACGAUCCGUAACUGGUCUGAGAGGAUGAUCAGCCACACUGGAACUGAGACACGGUCCAGACUCCUACGGGAGGCAGCAGUGGGGAAUAUUGGACAAUGGGCGAAAGCCUGAUCCAGCCAUGCCGCGUGUGUGAAGAAGGUCUUCGGAUUGUAAAGCGCUUUAAGUUGGGAGGAAGGGCAGUAAGUUAAUACCUGGCGGUUUUGACGGUACCAAAAGAAUAAGCACCGGCUAACUACGUG
rnacentral:rRNA from 1 species